rnacentral:tRNA from 1 species
ACCCGGGUGGUUCAGUCGGUAGAGCACGUGACUCUUGAUCUCGGGGUUGUGAGUUCAAGCCCCAUGUUGGGUG